rnacentral:rRNA from 1 species
CCCUUAGAUGUUCUGGGCCGCACGCGCGCUACACUGACAGAGCCAACGAGUUCUUCACCUUGGCCGGGAGGUCUGGGUAAUCUUGUUAAACUCUGUCGUGCUGGGGAUAGAGCAUUGCAAUUAUUGCUCUUCAACGAGGAAUGCCUAGUAAGCGCGUGUCAUCAGCACGCGUUGAUUACGUCCCUGCCCUUUGUACACACCGCCCGUCGCUACUACCGAUUGAAUGGCUCAGUGAGGCCUUCGGACUGGCUCAGGGAGGUUGGCAACGACCACCCCGAGCCGGAAAGUUCGUCAAACUCGGUCAUUUAGAGGAAGUAAAAGUCGUAACA